UCCGAGCGGGGCACGCUCCUGCUCCCAAGAAACCUAAAGGGGGCCGGCUAAGACAAUGGGUACCCUAGCACCCUGGAGACUUUGCCUGUGACCUAGCUCUCCUCGAGGGCCGCCACCUCGCGGAGGCGCGGAGCGAUGCCCCCUACUGGGAAGCCUGCGCCUGGAGCACCGCGCAGCUGGUCCUGGCUAGACACACUUUGCAUCCGAAGAUCUCUGGUGGCAGCAGGGUGGCACCAUGGUUAGGAGCCCAGGCUGCCUGGAUCCCAGCCCUCGCUCCACCGCUCACCAGCUCUGUGACCCUGGGCCAGUUAAUAAUGAAAAUGAUCAGAAAGAGAAUGAAACACCUUGCAAGCUAUGACAGAGGCAAUCUCUUUGGCAAAUGAGAGAAGUGUCCAGACAAAGAUGGGAUCCGAGAGCUACGGAUACUCACAGUGCAGAGGGAGAGAAAGAAGGACACCUCCCCUGUGUCUCUCCCCCAUGGCAGGCUGGCUUAGGGGACAUGAAGAGAAAGGGAGCAGCAGAGACUUGCAUCCUCGUAAACAGAGCUCAUUCGGUAAAUACUACCCAGGCCUUCCAGACACUGUGCUGGGGAGAGAUGGCGACAAGGACACAGUCCCUACCAGCAGCACUCCACUCAACAUGGCAGGUCCUGUACUCGUUGUGCGAGGCACGGGCAACACAAAGAGAUGGCUUGCCUGCAAGAGACCCAGCUGGUUGGAGUUGGAGGCACAUUUUGUUUCUCCAACCAGCUGGGAAGGCGGCUGGAGCAGACCAGGAGAUCGCCGCUAAUGUUUUACAUGUCAAUAUGGUCCCUUCUCACUAACUUGCCAAGAUUUGAUCAGCUAAAUUGGUCUGUGUGGUGUGCUCCUUGCAAUGCACAGUGUGUAUUUAGAUCUUCCAGCAGUAUCACAAGAGCGGCUGCACGCGACGCAACAGCAGUAAACAGAUUGCAGUGGAUGUGGUUCUGAAGCUUUUUUUCUAGAUUUUCUGAGCUAUUUCCUGCCUCUUUGGGACUUGGGUUUCAAUAAGGUUGUCUCCUUGGGCCCCAGUUAGGUAAGG